CCUCAUCCUCAUCAUCCUCCUUGUCCUUGUCCUCUCUCUUCCUCCUCCUAUUCCUCCUCUUCAUGCUUCUCUGUCUCCUCCUCUUCCUUGUCCUCCUCCUCCUCCUCAUCUUCCUUGUGCUUGCCCUAGUCCUUGUCAUCCUCCUCCUCCUCUUCCUCCUCCUGCUCCUCCUCUUUCUCCUCCCCAUUCUCAUCCUCUUUGUCAUUGUCCUCCUCCUCCUCCUCCUCCUCAUCCUCAUUCUCCUCUUCCUCCUCGUUCUCCUCCUCCUCCUCAUCCUCCUCCUUGUCCUCGUCCUAUCUCUUCCUCCUACUAUUCCUCCUCCUCAUCUUCCACUCCUCUUCGUCGUCAUCAUCGUCGUCGUCGUCCUCGUCCUCCUCCUCGUCCUCCUCCUCGUCCUCCUCGUCCUCCUCCUCAUCCUCCUCCUCGUCCUCCUCCUCGUCCUCCUUGUCCUCCUCGUCCGCCUCCUCGUCCUCCUCCUCGUCCUCCUUGUCCUCUGCAUCUUCAUCCUUUUCCUCAUCCUCAUCCUUCUCCUCCUCCUCCACAUCCUCAUUCUCAUCCUCUUUAUCCUCCUAUUCCUCGUUCUCCUCCUCGUCUUCCUCGUCCUCCUCCUCCUUGUCCCCCUUUUCCUCCUCGUCCUCCUUAUCCUCCUCAUCCUCGUCCUUUUCCUCAUCCUUGUCCUCCUCCUCAUCCUCCUCCUCCUUAUCCUCCACAUCCUUAUCGUCCUCAUCCUCCUCAUUGUCCUCCUCAUCCUCAUUCUCCUCAUUCUCCUUCUCCUCUUCCUCCUCCUCCUCAUCAUCCUCCUUGUCCUUGUUCUCUCUCUUCCUCCUCCUAUUCUUCCUCCUCAUCUUCCACCUCCUCUUCGUCGUCGUCGUCCCCCUCCUCCUCCUCCUCGUCCUCCUCAUCAUCCUCCUCCUCGUCCUCCUUCUCAUCCUCCUCCUCUUCCUCCUCUUCUUCCUCCUCCUCCUCAUCCUCCUCCUCCUCGUCCUCCUCCUCCUCCUCUGUGUGUGGUUCUCAAGAUUCAAUGACUCUAGGAUUCCAGGAACCUGGAACUCUGGGAUUCCAUGGCUCUGUGACCCCAUGGAUGGAUUCAGGACUGUCUCCAAGGCCACAAUGGAACGUUGGUGCCAGCGGGAGGGGCUGCAGUGCAGGGGCACCAACAGGUGAGAGG
rnacentral:lncRNA from 1 species